rnacentral:rRNA from 15 species
GUCAUAUGCUUGUCUCAAAGAUUAAGCCAUGCAUGUCUCAGUACAAGCCAAAUUAAGGUGAAACCGCGAAAGGCUCAUUAAAUCAGUUAUGGUUCCUUAGAUCGUACCCACAAUUACUUGGAUAACUGUGGUAAUUCUAGAGCUAAUACAUGCAAACAGAGCUCCGACCGGAGACGGAAGGAGUGCUUUUAUUAGAUCAAAACCAAUCGGUGGCGGGUUCGCUCGUCAUCGUACAACUUGGUGACUCUGAAUAACUUUACGCUGAUCGCACGGUCAUCGCACCGGCGACGCAUCUUUCAAAUGUCUGCCUUAUCAACUGUCGAUGGUAGGUUCUGCGCCUACCAUGGUUGUAACGGGUAACGGGGAAUCAGGGUUCGAUUCCGGAGAGGGAGCCUGAGAAACGGCUACCACAUCCAAGGAAGGCAGCAGGCGCGCAAAUUACCCACUCCCGGCACGGGGAGGUAGUGACGAAAAAUAACGAUACGGGACUCAUCCGAGGCCCCGUAAUCGGAAUGAGUACACUCUAAACCCUUUAACGAGGAUCAAUUGGAGGGCAAGUCUGGUGCCAGCAGCCGCGG